GCGAAGGACUUCAGUGCUUUUGGGGCUGUGCUGUUGGUCCUUGGGCCAUCGCUCGUUCAGUCGUCGUUGCGUGUUGUAGGUGGCCUGGUCUACUGAGCUCCGUUUGGACUGCUCCUCCUCCAACUACUACUGCGGCCGCUGCUGCUGCUGCUGCGGCUGCUGCAUCCGCCUGCAACCUGCAACACUCACACCACGGCAACAGAAGUAGACGCGUCGCGUUCAGUCCCCGUCCUACGGCCUAACGUCAUGUCGCGUAGUGUUCGGCCGAGUAAAGCAAGCAGACUGUAAGGUGACUGAACCGAUCCUUAACCCAUCACCUUCCUCUCCCACUCGAGUGCCGUGGAUGUGUGUCAAUUAGAAAGUCUCGUCUCAGUGAGUCGCGUGUUUAAUUUGCGGCACGUUCCCCACACACACUCACUAUCAAUUUAAUUAAAAAGCCACAGACAGACCCAUAACUACCGCAAAACCAGCCAGCAAACCCACCUAACUGGGCCCAAAACUAAACACAAUAUUGCGACCAAGAACCAGAUAAACCGUCCAGAUCAGAAAGAGAUGAAGGCAUUGAUAAAGAAAGAGAUAGAGAGCGGCCAAAACCUAGCCCCGAAAAUCAAUAAACUGGUAAGUACUCGCCCAGCUGAAUUUCUUUUUUGGCUCCUUGCUUACUGCAAAUGCUUUUAUAAAUUUUAUGACUCAAUACUUCCAUUGUGGCAAUAGACGAUGACAACGACAACGACGACAUUUAACCUACAGACUUUUGUGCCGGCACUG
rnacentral:lncRNA from 1 species